UACAUGCAACAAUGCCCAACCCUCACGGGAAGGGUGCACUUAUUAGAUCAAGACCAACCGGGUUUCGGCUCGAAGUUUUGAUGACUCUGGAUAAUUGUUUCGAUCGCACGGCCUUUGUGUCGGCGACGUUUCUUUCAAAUGUCUGCCCUAUCAACUAUAGAUGGUAGAUAAAUUGUCUACCAUGGUGAUAACGGGUAACGGGGAAUCAGGGUUCGAUUCCGGAGAGGGAGCCUGAGAAACAGCUACCACAUCCAAGGAAGGCAGCAGGCGCGCAAAUUACCCACUCUCAAAACGAGGAGGUAGUGACAAUAAAUAACGAUGCGGGACUCAAUCGAGGCCCCGUAAUCGGAAUGAGUACACUUUAAAUCCUUUAACGAGGAUCAAUUGGAGGGCAAGUCUGGUGCCAGCAGCCGCGGUAAUUCCAGCUCCAAUAGCGUAUAUUAAAGUUGUUGCAGUUAAAAAGCUCGUAGUUGGAUCUAAGGAUUUGGACGGAUGGUACGCUUUAGGGUGUCACUGUCUGUCUGGCCUAUAUUAGUCGUGGAAGCCUUUAGUGCUCUUCAUUGAGUGCUUUGGGUGCCCGACGCAAUUACUUUGAGAAAAUUAGAGUGCUUAAAGCAGGCAUAAUGCUUGUAUACUGUUGCAUGGAAUAAUGAAAUAGGAGUUUGCUUCUAUUUUGUUGGUUUUCGGAAGUGAACUAAUGAUUAACGGGGACAGACGGGGCAUUUGUAUGGAGGCGAUAGAGGUGAAAUUCUGUGACCGUCUCCAGACAAACUACUGCGAAAGCAUUUGCCAGGAAUGUUUUCAUUAAUCAAGAACGAAAGUCAGAGGUUCGAAGACGAUCAGAUACCGUCCUAGUUCUGACCAUAAAUGAUGCCAUCUAGUAAUUCCCGAAGUUUGCUUGUACGAACUUGGGAGCGGCCCCCGCGAAAGCAAAGAUUUUGGGUUCCGGGGGAAGUAUGGUUGCAAAGCUGAAACUUAAAGGAAUUGACGGAAGGGCACCACCAGGAGUGGAGCCUGCGGCUUAAUUUGACUCAACACGGGAAACCUCACCCGGCCCGGACACUGUAAUGAUUGACAGAUUAACAGCUCUUUCUUGAUUUGGUGGUUGGUGGUGCAUGGCCGUUCUUAGUUGGUGGAGUGAUUUGUCUGGUUAAUUCCGAUAACGAACGAGACUCUACCCUGCUAAAUAGUACGCAGAUAAUAAUUCUGUCUGUGCUGACUUCUUAGAGGGACUAACGGCGUUUAGCCGUGUGAGAAAGAGCAAUAACAGGUCUGUGAUGCCCUUAGAUGUUCGGGGCCGCACGCGCGCUACACUAAUUACAGCAACGGGUAUGCUCCUGGUUAGAAAUGACUGGGUAACCCGAUUGAAUCGUAAUUGUGACAGGGAUCGAGGUUUGCAAUUAUCUCUCGUGAACGAGGAAUUCCCAGUAAGCGCAAGUCAUUAGCUUGUGCUGAUUACGUCCCUGCCCUUUGUACACACCGCCCGUCGCUACUACCGAUUGAACGGUUUAGUGAGGUCCUUGGAUUGACUGUAACUAGG
rnacentral:rRNA from 1 species